rnacentral:rRNA from 1 species
CAGUAGCCGCGGGAAAACGGAGGGGGCUAGCGUUGUUCGGAAUUACUGGGCGUAAAGCGCACGUAGGCGGCUUGGUAAGUUAGAGGUGAAAGCCCGGAGCUCAACUCCGGAAUUGCCUUUAAGACUGCCGAGCUAGUAGGUGAGAGAGGUAAGUGGAAUUCCGAGUGUAGAGGUGAAAUUCGUAGAUAUUCGGAAGAACACCAGUGGCGAAGGCGGCUUACUGGCUCAUUCUAGACGCUGAGGUGCGAAAGCGUGAGGAGCAAACAGGAUUAGAUACCCGUGUAGUCCCUGUCUCUUAUAU